GUGUCAAAAUUCUCGGACCGCGAUGAAUUCGGUUCAUCGGUGGAUAAGUCCAUUCGUUUCAUCAGUGGAUGGACUCAUCCACCGAUGAACCGAAUUCACUCGGUUCGAGAAUUUUGACACUAGAGCGGGGUCGUUUCCAAUCAGAAUUAGGACCGAGUGAAUUCGGUUCAUCGGUGGAUAAGACCAUAACCCAUGAACUUACCCACUGUUGAACUGAAUCCACUCGGUUCGAGAUAUUUGACACUAGAGCGGGUCCGUUUCCAAUUUGCGAUGAAUUUUAAGUUCACUUGCUUAGAAAAGUGUGAUACUACAUCCGGGUACACUCUCGAAUAACUCUGGAGCAACAUUUGAAAAGGGCAUACAAGCAUUGGUAAACAAUGACUUCACACGUCGCUCCUGAGCCCCCAUCAGCUUAUUCACAAAAACUAAGACCGAUAUCAGAUAGAGCAAACAUCGAUCUUUCGGAUAACGGUGUUCAUUUGCGUGGGCGGGCUGCUGUUAUGCCCUACGGAGCGUUUUCGAAAAAAGACACAAGACCUCUUGGGCCCUUUUCAAAUGUUGCUCCAGAACUACUACAUACUCAACAAGUAAAAUAUUCACCAUAAAAAUUAUCGAAUAAUAACAUUUUUGAUCAUAUUUUCAAAAGUUGAAUGAAAUGGUCUAUUACAAGCCUAAGUUCAAACACCAACUCGAGUUCAAUGGUAAGCAGUGUGUAGCCCCCCGCUACGACUGAAUCGUGGGAUUCAGAUACAAAGAAAAGGAUUGAUUCGGAACUCGUGGAACCAAACUUACGAAGUGAAUUGACAAGUGAUUAAUAAUACUAGCGCGUAGAGUGUUUCGCAUAGCCAGUAGAGUCAGUAGGAAUAUUAAAAUCGAACGUUAAAUUGCUACCAACCAACCCCAGAAACAAAAAAAACUGUAAUGCAUGAAACCGCGUAGUCCGUAAAUAUGACCCCCAUGUAGGUGUGACGACUAGAACAAGACUUGUAGAGAGCUAUACACUAUAAGACGAAUCAAGAAAUCAAUACUAGCCCGCCCCGUUUUUUCAAGCAAAUUAUGUCAAUCAAAUUUCGAAGACUAAUCAAAUCCGAACAUAGCGUUAAUACAAAAACACGCAUACACAAACAAUAAGAAAGGAAACCAAAGAAAAGCAGACAACCGAAAAGAAAAUGGAAGAACUUGAUUGGUCAGCGAGCAAACAAUAGGAAGCAAAACAGAACAGAGAACGAAAAUCAUGAAAGAAAACAAUUGAUAUAGUCCUGUAAGAAGACAGUCUAAUCAAAUAUAAAAACUUCCACUUCGGGUUUCACUACCCCGAAGUCGAAUAGAAUUCACUGGUGUUGUUUUUUUACGAAAUGAAUGAAUUUUUAAAGUUUGUUGCAAUUAUUUUACCUGAUCUCGUCCUCUUGCAAAUGGUUUCUUUGGUUAUAUGGAAAAUGAGAACCAAUUCAAAUAAAACAGAUGAUUCAAGUUAGAUUGUUCUGAUCGUUUUGUUAGAAUCAGUAAUACGAACUUUUAUCAAAAUGACUAAAGGAAAAUUUUGUACAAAUGAAUUGAGCUUCAGUUUUAUGGGUCUUAUAGGAAAAAUGGAAUGUAUCUAUGUCAAUUGAAUUCUAAUCAAAAAUCACUUUUGUUAGAAGAUUCUCGCGUUGGGCAACGUUGGAUUUGCCUUUACGAUUGUACAAGUGUUCGUGCAAAUAAUUCAUGAUCAUCCACUACAAGUCAAUGAACGUGUUCACUCGUUUGAAAUGUCAUUAUAGCGAACUCCUGUAUUUGUCCGUUCGAUAAUUGUUCAUGUUAAUGGACGAUAAGUUUUCUGAUUGGAAACGGUUCCGCUCCAGUGGCAAAAUUCUCUGAACGAGUGAAUUUGGUUUAUCGUUGAAUAAUUUUACUCGACAAUUAGCUGUCACUUCAUUCACUAAAACAGCUGGCAGACUGUACUGAUUCAUACAUUGUAACGGAAAAGAACUUGAGCAGGUUAUAGGCCCAGUCCUAACGUCUCUGUAUUAGGCACAGUGAACAUAUUGUAUAACCCUUUGAAUACCUUACUGAUACUAGGUUGAAUUUAUAUUGAGAUUCUGGUCUAUUUCAUGAAACUACAGCAAAAAACAGUUACUGAGAGUUAUUCAGAGAUGUUCGAGGUUACUCAAUAUCUGCUUUCUAGGUAAAAUCUUCCUGUCCGUGUGAUAGAAACAAAUAAUCCAAUGAAAUAAGAAGUACGUUCCAAUUCGAGAAUCUUCAAACAAAAACGACUCAAUUUAAAACAUACAUUUCACCCUUAUGUACUUAUAAAAGUUUAUCCAAGAAAAGCCCACACACAUUUUGGUACAACUAUCGAAAACAAGUUAAAGCAUAAAUCAUUUAAUACUGACACACUUCAAUGUUUCUAGGUAAAUUAGAAAUUUACUAACGAGAAAAUCAAGCAAAUAACGCAACGUUUGCAGAAUAUAUGAGAAUGAUAAAAAACACACAAUUUAAAAAUACUAUUUUCUAGUCUAAUAUAUUGAAUACUAAAUCAAAUAAUUUAUUGAUGCAAGUAUAAUUACUACUACAUAAUAAAAUGAAACGAAUUAAUCUUACUUAGCUAUACAUAUAUAUUAGUGGAACGAGACGAAAACAGGAACAGAAAUCUAAAACGCAGUGCUGUUGAAAUAAAUUGAAAAAAAAAACCGAAGCAAACAAUAUAACGUUCAAUGAAUAAAAUAUUUCUAAACAAUCUUCACACUUAUCUAAUAUACCACUACGCAAUAGAACGGAAUGCCAUUUUAUGUUUCCGACUGUUCACACAAACAAACGCAAUGCAUAAAGUAUAACCGCGUCGAAUGAAUCUCACCACUACACGCGCAUGCACUACAAAACACUACUCAAACGAAUCGCAUAUAGCAAUUGUCUUACACACUAAAAAGCAAAAUAAACUAACUAAUCAAACGAAUUGAAAUCAAAGCAGCGUGAAACUGAAUCACACAAGAUCAAAACAGAACAAAUCAAAACCAAAAAAAACACAAGAUCAAGCAGAAAAUGGAAUUUAAAAUUGCAAUAGAACCCCUGUAGUUGCGAGUCGGAUACCGCUCUGGUUAGCGAAUACACUAAACUAAACUGAAGUAACCAAAAUGAGUAAAGUCCCCCCAUGGUAGCAAAACAAUAGUUACAUUCAUACACAAGCAGAAAAACACUAAUUUAAUCAAACAAUUACAAGUGUUGCCACAACCCAAUACAAGUAAUGCUGCUACAGUAAAACGGAAUCAAAUCAAACGGAAAUCAACGGAUUGUGACAACUAGGGUAAAAGCCCCCUUAUUCGGCCUAGUACCUAUAUUCAUCUCAUUUUGUCUCAAAGACUAGAGAUGUGCGCCGUCGAGAUUUAUUACUUCACGCCGCCGGAUGUUUUGAUUUUCUAGCACGCCGCCAGCUUAAAACUCAUCACGCCGCCGAACUUAGAAUUUCCCCAAUAAUCUUCAGAAAAUAAUCGAUUUAAGUUUAAACGCUCCCAAAAUGAAUGCAUGUCAUUCAUUGCCGAAUAAACAAAAUAUUUCGUUCAAUGAUCCUAUUGAGAUUUUAGUUACUUUUUAGACACUUAGGGUAUGGGACCAUUUGGGCAGGAGCACCUAUUUUGGGCACUUGCUGAUAUAACUCAGUCAAUUUUGAACCGUUUGACUUGAUUUUUGAAACAGGAUCAGAUACGCACAGUAUCUAACCAAGUUUAAAAAUUGAAGUCAAUCGGUUUGAAAUUGACUGAGUUAUUUCUGCAAGUGCCCAAAAUAGGUGCUCCUGCCCAAAUGGUCCCAGACCCUAUAUAUCAUCAUAUAAAAAUCCUAGCAAAUAUCAUAUUCUUCAAACAAGGUGUAUAAAGCAUGCAAUGACAGCAUGCAUGCUUUUCCCCGCGUGACGUCAUAACGACGUUCGUUUAUAAUUGAGGGGGUUAGAAGCAAAGGGGUGUAAGUGACAAAAACCCACUUUCGAGUAAAUGAGGUUUAAAACUUUUCGUCAAUUUUUCAUUUACAUACAAAAUGUGAGGAAUUUCAAAAUCAACCCAAUUUUCUCCGAUUUAUUAUAAGUUUUUUUAAUCAUCGUAAAAAUAAUCUUAAAAAAGUUCCUGAAAGCUUGAAAUCUGAAGAAUUCAGGUCCUAAUAAUUCUAUUCAUGCCAUAACUUAAGAAUUAUUUAGGCAGCAUCCAUUUAUUACGUAACGCUAAAAUUGAUAUUUCAUUUGCUCAUCCUUAUAAACACCCUUUAGCCGCCGUUGCAAUACAGUAAUGUUCCGAUUUUAUCACGCCCUUCGUGUUUCAGUCCUUUAUUUUUCAUUAAUUUGCUGUUACAUUUGAGAGCAAGUGCUUCCCCUCUUCUUCAAGAUGAAUGUUGAAGGCGCGUUUUACGACGAUAAAAAUAUUUUAAAUACGAAUAGAUUUUAUAAAAUAUUUAAAAGCAGUUUUGAAAAGGGGCGUGAUAAAAUCGGAACAAUACUGUAGUUACCGUCAUUAUUAAAUAUUCUUAUGCUUCAUAUUGGUUCUGAGUAGCUUUCCCUUAAUUUAUGCAGGUCAUAAAAAAGGUGCAUAAAUUAAAAAGUGCAUAAAUAUAACAUGCAUAAAUUGAGGUUUUAGUGUAUUUACAUUCUCAUAUGCAAAGUAUAGUUUGUUAAAAUGUUUCGCUAUAUGAGAUGUAAAAGAGCGAAAUAUUGAAAUCUCAUUUUUAACGCCGCCGCCGCCGACGACCAAAAAUGAUGUUUUAACCGCGGCGCACAUCUCUGCCGAAGCACCAAAGCAAGCAUCACAGCGGUGCCAGACAUCAAGAAACAAGUAGUUAAUUGAAUGAAAUUUGGUCACUACAAAUACGACGUUUUUUUCAAUCAGAAUAUGGUCGUUUCUUGGUUUAACAUCUUGGUAAUCGAACUUCUACGCAAAUCGAUCAAUAAUUUCACUUUCCAACGCCAUUUCUUUCAAAAUAUUUGAUUUGGUUUUCAUCUAAACAUGCUGCUACCGCUCAAGCUUUACGAACUAUCAUCCAGUUCGGCAGCACUGAUUUGCCAAUCAGCUGUGAAUGUAUGCGAGUGCAAAACGUGGGGAGCGGGCAUAGACGAUUCGUCGCGCCGCACAUUGUUGUGACUUCUCCUUUGCGAGAGAGAAAAACAAUCACAAUGAAACUGUCACCUGCUGGGGAAAGGGAGUGCGUUAGUGGGUGAGUGCAGAAUGCUCUACGAUGAGAAAAUGUGAGAGUGGUUGUGGAUUUGCUGUAAAUACUGUUGAGAUGAAAAAGGGGCCACCCGGUGGACCGCGAUGAGAUGAAAAUUUUACGGUGUGCUGAAGAUAGGUGCGAGUGGCUCGCGAUUUGUGAUCGCAAUUAAAUCAAAUAUUGAAGAUAAAUCCCACUCUAGUGCAUCGUAGGAUCAACAGUGGACGUGAGCACGUGUGUUAAAGGUUUGUAUCAUUAAGUUUGAAGCGUAUACAUUGCGCUGUGAGUGAUUUUUCAUGUUGCACAUCCUUAAUGAGACUAAGAUAGGCACAAAUACCCUAGGCGUAUAAAACUUACACAAAACCAUAACGUUCCAGUAUCACACACACAAACACUCACCCACAAGUAUGAAGAUUAUAGGAAAACAAAAAUCAAUAAAAAUGAACAAGUAAUGACAAUGAGA